CACUAAACAGCUAGCUCAACAACUCUCAAUCAAACCCCUAAACAUUACUCUCCUCCCAAUUUUCUACUUCCUAAUAAACAAAUCAUUUUUCCAACUUAGUAUGGGCGACAGAAAAGAAACAAGAAGCAACAGACACAGUACCGCAAGGGAACGCUGAAAAAGAAAUGAAAUAAUAAUUAAGUUCUACAAAGCAGAGACUUCCCCUCGUACCUUUUGCAUCAUGAUUAAGCCAGAAAUAUGAAGCAAAGCGCCCUUUAGUUUCGCCCCCCGAAACCAGACGAGCUACUCCGAGGCAGCCUAUUAGGGCCAACCCGUCUCUGUGGCAAAAGAGUGGGAAGAACUCCGAGUAGAGGCGAUAAACCUACCGAGCCUGGUUAUAGCUGGUUGUUUAGGAAAUGAAUAUUAGUUCAGCCCACUGGUUUCUUAUCCCAAAACAUCUAUAAAACGAUUAAAAGAAUCCGAUGGAGUUAGUCAAAGAAGGUUCAGCUCCUUUGAAUAAAGACACAACUUUUCCAGGAGAAUAAAGACCAUAAUCAGAAAGGUUAAAUGUUUUAGUGGGCUUAAAGGCAGCCACCUAGCAGAAAGCGUUAAAGCUCAAAUAACCCCUUCCCCCCCCCCCCAUUUUGAUAAAAAGUCUUAUUUCCCUAAAUUUACUAAACCAUCUCAUGCCCCCAUGAGAGAGAUCCUGCUUAGACGAGUAAUAAGAGGGCACGCCCCUCUCCUCGCACACGUGUAAGCCGAGGUGGACAAACCACCGGCAAUUAAUGGUCCCAGCAAAAGAGGGAAUUGUCUUACUAAACCAUUCACUAGAAAACCCCACAAAAAUUACCAUUAACCCAACACAGGAGUGCACCCCAGGAAAGACUAAAAGAGCAGAAAGGAACUCGGCAAACACUAGCCUCGCCUGUUUACCAAAAACACCGCCUCUUGCAAACCAAGAAUAAGAGGUCCCGCCUGCCCUGUGACUAAGUUUAACGGCCGCGGUAUUCUGACCGUGCAAAGGUAGCGCAAUCACUUGUCCUUUAAAUGAGGACCUGUAUGAAUGGCAUCACGAGGGCUAAACUGUCUCCCUGCUCCUGUCAAUGAAACUGAUCUUCCCGUGCAGAAGCGGGAAUAAAGCCAUAAGACGAGAAGACCCUAUGGAGCUUUAGACACCAAACAGCCUGCCCCCACCCCCUUCCCCAAGAAGAGCCACCCCGGACAGCCCCUGUCAACUGUCUUUGGUUGGGGCGACCGUGGGGAAAAAAACAACCCCCAUGAGGACUGGGACAACCUUCCCUCAAACCGAGAACUACCCCUCUAAGAAUCAGAAUCUCUGACCUACAUGAUCCGGCUUCACGACCGAUCAACGAACCGAGUUACCCUAGGGAUAACAGCGCAAUCCCCUCCAAGAGUCCAUAUCGACGAGAGGGUUUACGACCUCGAUGUUGGAUCAGGACAUCCUAAUGGUGCAGCCGCUAUUAAGGGUUCGUUUGUUCAACGAUUAAUAGUCCUACGUGAUCUGAGUUCAGACCGGAGUAAUCCAGGUCAGUUUCUAUCUAUGACACAACCCUUUUCUAGUACGAAAGGACCGAAAAGAGGAGGCCCAUGCCAAUUGUACGCCUCACCCCCACCUGAAGAAAUCAACUAAAACAAGUAAAAGGGUAAAACCACUCAGGCACGCUUACGAUAACAGCUU
rnacentral:rRNA from 1 species